rnacentral:rRNA from 1 species
UACGAAGGGUGCAAGCGUUACUCGGAAUUACUGGGCGUAAAGCGUGCGUAGGCGGUUUGUUAAGUCUGUCGUGAAAGCCCCGGGCUCAACCUGGGAAUGGCGAUGGAAACUGGCGAGCUAGAGUACGGUAGAGGAGAGUGGAAUUCCCGGUGUAGCAGUGAAAUGCGUAGAGAUCGGGAGGAACAUCAGUUGCGGAAGGCGGCUCUCUGGACCAGUACUGACGCUGAGGCACGAAAGCGUGGGGAGCAAACAGG